GACGAACGCUGGCGGCAUGCCUAACACAUGCAAGUCGAACGGAGAAUUCCUUCGGGAAUUCUUAGUGGCGAACGGGUGAGUAACGCGUAGGCAACCUGCCCUUUGGAUGGGGACAACAUUCCGAAAGGAGUGCUAAUACCGAAUGUGACGAUUUUACCGCAUGGUUUAAUCGUGAAAGAUGGCCUCUACAUGUAAGCUAUCGCCAAAGGAUGGGCCUGCGUCUGAUUAGCUAGUUGGUGGGGUAACGGCUCACCAAGGCGACGAUCAGUAGCCGGUCUGAGAGGAUGAACGGCCACAUUGGGACUGAGACACGGCCCAGACUCCUACGGGAGGCAGCAGUGGGGAAUCUUGGGCAAUGGGGGAAACCCUGACCCAGCAACGCCGCGUGAAGGAAGAAGGCCCUCGGGUUGUAAACUUCUUUUAGCAGGGACGAAGGACGUGACGGUACCUGCAGAAAAAGCAACGGCUAACUACGUG
rnacentral:rRNA from 1 species